GAUGAACGCUGGCGGCGUGCCUAAUACAUGCAAGUCGAGCGAACAGACGAGGAGCUUGCUCCUCUGACGUUAGCGGCGGACGGGUGAGUAACACGUGGAUAACCUACCUAUAAGACUGGGAUAACUUCGGGAAACCGGAGCUAAUACCGGAUAAUAUAUUGAACCGCAUGGUUCAAUAGUGAAAGACGGUUUUGCUGUCACUUAUAGAUGGAUCCGCGCCGCAUUAGCUAGUUGGUAAGGUAACGGCUUACCAAGGCGACGAUGCGUAGCCGACCUGAGAGGGUGAUCGGCCACACUGGAACUGAGACACGGUCCAGACUCCUACGGGAGGCAGCAGUAGGGAAUCUUCCGCAAUGGGCGAAAGCCUGACGGAGGAACGCCGCGUGAUUUAUGAUGGUCUUCGGAUCGUAAAACUCUGUUAUUAGGGAAGAACAAAUGUGUAAGUAACUAUGCACGUCUUGACGGUACCUAAUCAGAAAGCCACGGCUAACUACGUG
rnacentral:rRNA from 1 species